rnacentral:rRNA from 1 species
GAUGAACGCUAGCUACAGGCUUAACACAUGCAAGUCGCGGGGUAGCAUUAGUCUGGCUUGCCAGACUAGAUGACGACCGGCGCACGGGUGAGUAACGCGUAUCCAACCUGCCUUUUACCACGGGAUAGCCCCUCGAAAGAGGGAGUAAUACCGUAUGAGGUCACGAGAAGACAUCCGACCGUGACGAAAGGAUUGGCGGUAAAAGAUGGGGAUGCGUCUGAUUAGGCAGUUGGCGGGGUAACGGCCCACCAAACCGACGAUCAGUAGGGGUUCUGAGAGGAAGGUCCCCCACAUUGGAACUGAGACACGGUCCAAACUCCUACGGGAGGCAGCAGUGAGGAAUAUUGGUCAAUGGUCGUAAGACUGAACCGGCCAAGUAGCGUGAGGGAUGACUGCCCUAUGGGUUGUAAACCUCUUUUAUCUGGGGAUAAAGUGAGCCACGUGUGGUUUAUUGCAGGUACCAGAAGAAUAAGGACCGGCUAAUUCCGUGCCAGCCGCCGCAGUAAGAC